rnacentral:rRNA from 1 species
CGGCGGACGGGUGAGUAACACGUGGGUAACCUACCUAUAAGACUGGGACAACUUCGGGAAACCGGAGCUAAUACCGGAUAAGAUAUCGAACCGCAUGGUUCGAUAGUGAAAGAUGGUUUUGCUAUCACUUAUAGGUGGACCCGCGCCGUAUUAGCUAGUUGGUGAGGUAACGGCUCACCAAGGCAACGAUACGUAGCCGACCUGAGAGGGUGAUCGGCCACACUGGAACUGAGACACGGUCCAGACUCCUACGGGAGGCAGCAGCU